GCGAACGCUGGCGGCAGGCCUAAUACAUGCAAGUCGAGCGGUCCCUUCGGGGGCAGCGGCGGACGGGUGAGUAACGCGUGGGAAUGUGCCCUUUGGUACGGAACAACUGAGGGAAACUUCAGCUAAUACCGUAUGUGCCCUUCGGGGGAAAGAUUUAUUGCCAUUGGAGCAGCCCGCGUUGGACUAGGUAGUUGGUGAGGUAAAGGCUCACCAAGCCGACGAUCCAUAGCUGGUCUGAGAGGAUGAUCAGCCACACUGGGACUGAGACACGGCCCAGACUCCUACGGGAGGCAGCAGUGGGGAAUCUUGCGCAAUGGGCGAAAGCCUGACGCAGCGACGCCGCGUGAGGGAUGACGGCCUUCGGGUUGUAAACCUCUUCUAGCUCCGACGAAGCGAAAGUGACGGUAGGAGC
rnacentral:rRNA from 1 species